UACGAAGGGGGCGAGCGUUGUUCGGAAUUACUGGGCGUAAAGGGCGCGCAGGCGGCCUCUUGAAGUUAGAUGUGAAAGCCCCGGGCUCAACCUGGGAAUGGCAUUUGAUACUCGAGGGCUUGAGUACGGGAGAGGAGAGUGGAAUUCCCAGUGUAGAGGUGAAAUUCGUAGAUAUUGGGAAGAACACCGGUGGCGAAGGCGGCUCUCUGGACCGUAACUGACGCUGAGGCGCGAAAGCGUGGGGAGCAAACAGG
rnacentral:rRNA from 1 species